rnacentral:snRNA from 1 species
GUGCUCGCUUUGAGGGCGCAUAUACUAAGGUUGGAACAGCACAGAAAUUAGCAUGGCCCUUGGGCAAGAGUGAUACACAAAUUCGUGAAGAGUUCCAUAUUAAA